GAUUGGCGCAGCCCUGCCGGGGAGCGAGGCGGGGAGAGGGCGGGCGGGGGCCGGGCACGGCAGCGCGGGGAGAGGGGGCGCGGGCAGCCCGGCUCCCGCCCCACGCGUGACUCAGCACGGCCCCACGGGGCUGGAGUGGGGCGGCACAGCCCUCGGGGCAGGCCCAAAGAGGACACCUUAUUUGAACCACAGAAAACAGCCUAAAUAAGGAAAAUGGGAAGCAUUUCCAACUGUUGCCUCUUGCGGACUGGCUGGGGCAUAUCACGGGGAUGAGACAAGGAAAAGGGUUUCUAACCAAAAGGAACAGGAGCCAAGUGCUGCCUUUAAAGCCAGGAGAGGAGUGGGUUGGCCCCAGGCAGUUCCUUGCUGGCUUGCUGGUGGAUCAGGCAGAGCAUCAGCAGUAGGUGCUGCUGCUCUCAGCAGGAGGACUCGGUCCCAGUGGAGGGGUGGGGACUCCAGCCCCCGUGUGCCUGAUUCCGAGGUGGGGCUGCUGCGUGCAGCUGUAAGACAGAACCUCGAACAGCCAGAGACAGAUGGGCUUCCCGCAGGUGAUGGGAACCACAGCAAGGUUUCAGAAGGGUUUCCUGGCCGCGCUGUCCACCCGCCACGUGUUGUGCUGUCACUGGAUCUCCGUGCUCCAAAGCUGCUUAGUCCGACCCGAGUGGAACUGCACUAAACCCGUCAGGAGAUGGAUGCUUUGUUCCAGGGAAGGAAGCUGUUGGUCUCUGCAGGGCAGAACCUCAAUCCAAGGCACUAUGGGGGCCGCCCUGCACCUGCUGAUCUGCAGGGCUUGGGCAUUGAUUCAGCACCCGCACCCAGCACAGCCCACUCUGCUGCUGCAGAAAGCUCAGUCUUGGGCCUGGAAGACAUUUUCAUAGCCUAUGAAUUCUUUAAACCUAAAGGCUGAUGAUAUGUGAGCCCCUUGCAUGUGUGCUGGGGCAGAGCAGGUCCUGGGCUGUGGCCGAGUGCUGCUCUGCUCACACCGGGUUUGUGUGGCUGGGAACAGCCACAGGUACUGAGUGAGCACAACUGGGAGACACAACUGGGCACUGACUGGUUAG
rnacentral:lncRNA from 1 species